rnacentral:misc_RNA from 1 species
GAUGAAGAACGCAGAGAAAUGCGAUAAGUAAUGUGAAUUGCAGAAUUCAGUGAAUCAUCGAAUCUUUGAACGCACAUUGCGCCCGCCAGUAUUCUGGCGGGCAUGCCUGUUCGAGCGUCAUUUCAACCAUCAAGCCCCAGGCUUGUGUUGGAGCCCUGCGGCUGCCGCAGCCUCCCAAAACCAGUGGCGGGCUCGCUAUCACACCGAGUGCAGUAGUUUACUCUUCGCUCAGGGCGUGUGGCGGGUGCUAGCCGUGAAACCCCCAACUUCUCAAGGUUGACCUCGGAUCAGGUAGGAAUACCCGCAGAAAUUAAGCAUAUCAAUAAGCGGAGGA